UUGCUUUAGGUGCAAAAAGCACUGAGAGGUCAAAGAGCAGAGGCAGUGAGCCUGCGGGGUAGAGCCUGGUUCCCAGUGCCCCUCAGGUGCUAAUUCCCUGGGACAGUAGUAGGGUCUGCACAGAGUCAAGAGGGGGUUCUGUAGCCUGGGAAACUCCGAGUCAUGUAAAGGUUAACAGAUCUCUUCUCUGCCUUGUGUCUUAGAGGGUUGAAAAUGCGAAUGUGCAUGGAGGACUUCCAAGAAGGGAAUGUCAGAUUCACACUUUCCCAAGGCUGUCGCGAUGGAAAUCCACAUUCUGCAGAACCAAAAAUAGCAUCUAUCUAUGAGAAGAAGGCUACUGACCUGGGGGACCCUGUGGGCCAGGAAGACCGCUAGAACCUGAGGAGGACAACACGACAACGAUGAUCAGAUGGGUCGGGUACAGGCCAGGAACACUGACCCCAUGGAGCAAGGAUCGGGCAGCCUUCAACCUCAGCAGAACCAUCAGAGGCUACGCACCUGGAGUCCCAGGGAACCCUCGAUCUCCUGUGGGAACAGAGAGAAAAAAGUCAGCCAGAGGACUCAGGCCGGUCACCUAAGGAGCCACCAGUGCAAUUCAGGUGGGAUCGCCAAAUUUAGCAAGUAAAAAUACGGGACUCUCAGUUAAGUUUGAAUUGCAGGAAAACAUUGAAUAAACUUUUACUUAUAGUGACAAGUGAUUUAGUGUUUAUAUUAAUUCACAUUUGACUGGGCAUCCUAUAUUAUAGUCAGGAGGGG